rnacentral:rRNA from 1 species
CGCGUAGGCGGCCGUUUAAGUCUGGAGUGAAAUUCCCGUUUUAAGGUGGGAACUGCUUUGGAAACUGGACGGCUUGAGUGCAGGAGAGGUUAUCGGAAUUCCCGGUGUAGCGGUGAAAUGCGUAGAGAUCGGGAGGAACACCAGUGGCGAAGGCGGGUAACUGGACUGCAACUGACGCUGAGGCGCGAAAGUGUGGGGAGCAAACA